GUGAAACAGAAACUACGUUUAUGAAACAUGCUUUUAUUACAGCACCCUCCAACUCUUUCCAAAAAAACAAGACAGAAAAAUAAGAAUAAGAAGAAGAAAAGAACAGUGAAGUAAAAUGUGUUGUUUUGAAUGCAUUGCUUCAGUUGUUCAGUUGGAUCUAAUGUUUGUAGAGUUGCAUAUAUCUUAUUAUAAUAGAUGAAAUCAACCAGCACUUCACUCCAGAUUGGUUUCUUUUUUUUCAUGGCAUUGACCCUCACCUUGGACCAUUAUUUUUUCCUCCUCUUAUUUUU
rnacentral:misc_RNA from 1 species